AAAAAAAGAAAGAAACUGUGACUAUGAAGCAACACCCAAAGCCACUGUCAGAUGUCAUGGGAAUGAGACCUCACAAGGCCUCGUGGCUUACUCCCUCAAGUCAUUCAGGUUUCUGAUCAAAUACCUCCUCAGAGAGCUCUUCCCUGGCCACCCCCUUCAAAGUAGUAAGUAAUUUCAUGUAACUUUGUAUCCCCUUAUUUAGUUUCAUAAAAAUAUAACAUUAUGUUACAUAUUAAAUUAGUGCCUGUCCCCUCCACUAGAAUGGAUUCUUUAUGAAAGUGGGAACUUUAUUUUGUUCAUUACUCUAUUCCUAGAGUUGAACAGGCACAUAGAGGGUAUUAAGUAAAGGCUUGUUGCACGAAUAAUUUGUGGUAGCAAAUGAAUGGAAAAAUAAACAAAUAUAAUAUCCUUGGUAAGAGAAUCGUUAGAUAAAUUGUGGCAUAUCAAUAACAUGAUUAAGUCAUUGAGAAGAAUAGAAUUAGAUCUAUGUCAUCCAGGGAGUUUCAAAGUUUAUUAUUAAGGAAGAAGUGGAGAUGCAGAAAAGUUUGUAUAAUAGGACCCUGAGCAAUGAUCUACAUAUAUACGUUAUCUAUCCAUUUAUUUGAUCCAUCUAUCAUCGCAUAAGAAUGAUGGAUAUCGUAGGAUAUUCACCAGGUUGUAAGCGUUAGCUUUGGAGGGAAAUUGUGCAGUGUGAUUUUGUUGAACAGGGUAUGGAAACAGAGACUAGAGGGCUCAAAGUUGGCUGAAAUAUGUAAAAUGAUUGCCAGUUUGAGAUACAUCUUCACUUGCUUCUGCUAGAUACACUUCAGAGCAACUUCAGUCAUAUCUUCCUUCCCUUGCCGCCCACACUGUGACUUAGUGUCAAACUCUGACCCAUUGUUGCUGCCUUGGCCUUCCUUAAUUACUCUCCUUUGGAAUUCCAUGUUAGUGCUCAGUGCUUCCAUGCUGAAAUGCAGGUUCCACGCAGUCAACUUGUCUUGUCUUUGACGACUAUUUAGAACCUCUUUGCAUUCCUUGAAAAAAGGCAUUUGUCUCUUACUGAUGUGUUUUGCCCGUGUUGCCUAUGCAAUGAGUCCUUGAUGUUGUUACGACUGUUGCUGAUCACUUUUGGUGGGUUUUGAGGAAAAACUAUGAAAUCGAUUCUAGACAAUUUAGACUUUUGUGGUUCACUGGGGCCCAUAAAACUCCUGAGCCAGAGAAGUGUGACUAGGAGAAUAACAAUAUUUAUUCAACGAUAAUGUGCUCCACAUACAUUAAGAGAACUCUGCACAGCCCCCGAUGGAAAGUUAUGGAAACAUUCUCAAGUUAGAAACAGUAAAUGUUUUGCAAAUAAAGUGGCACUGUCUUAGAAAUGCCAGAAGGCAGAGGCAAAAUAUUCCAUUUGAUAAUUAAGAAUAUAAUUAAUGAUGAGAAACCCUAUAUUUUAGAGUAAGAUUAUAUCCCCUUUAUCAUGGCAUUCAGUCAUUUGAAAUUUUAUAUUCAUUAAUUUGGUUGUAUUUUCCACCAACUCUAAGGAGGAGCUGGAGGGGUGUGUACUUUUUUUGUUAACAUUGGAUUGCAAUAUUCAGGCACCUAUCUAUUCUCACUUCAAAUAAAAUAAUUUAGGAAUGUUAGUUCUAAACUCAAGCUGAGGCAAAAUAAAGAUUUUGUAGUGAUUUUCAUUUGAGAAGAUACAAAGGUUUUGCCAAUAUACAAGUGUGUUACUUAUAUCCUUAGAGGGUUUCCAACUUAUUACUGUUUUAAAGAUGAACAUCAAUGGCAUUACUUGUGAAGAACAUUAAAGAUUAUUCUAGUACAAUAAGAAACUGGAUCAAUUCACGUCAUAAGCCAUUUUGGAUAUUAGAAAAUUAGUUUAAAAAGUAAUUGUUCUGAGUGAGGAAAAAAAAUAUGUUGAAGCCCUGCUGUUGGGCAAAAUAAUCUGAAGAGUCUAUUUUUCUGAGCUUUUCUUUGAGCAGUUUCUUCCAUCAACACGUUUUUAAAACCAAAUUCUUUUCUUUUCUCAAACAAUAUAUAUAAUGUGCAGAGAAGUUGGGAGUGAUAGACUAAUGUGAUGUAACAAUUUUAGCUUUCUCACAUGCAUGCUUAAAAAUCAUGAAACAGCAACAAAUUGUAGCAGUUUGUAAUUGUUUGCUUUUGUGUUAAAUGCUGGGCUGUGACAAUCACUUGUUUAGGACAGAAGUCUUUUUGAUUAUGUGAACCUGAACCCACAGAACUCAAAGGAAACAUGUAAAUAAAUAAAGAAGUGCAAAUACCUUUUUUGCAUAAAGAGCAGUCCAUCAGACUCAUGAUGAGCUUUCUCCUUUUGUUGCUUUAACUCUUUCACAAAAUGUUUUUUGUUUGUAUAUGUUUUGCAGUGUCCUUUUCAAAAUUAAUGACCUGGACUUUUUGAAUCAUAAAACAAUUCUGAAAGCCCACAUUAUUAGAACCAUGGGGGAAGUUUGCAUCUGUUGAUUAGCUGAGAAGCUUGCUUUCACUAUUAAUAUGCAACAGUACUUUCAGUUAUGUUCUGGUAAAAGUAAGUAUAGAUAUUAGACAUCAACUCAAAAACUUUUGACAAGACAGGUUUCUACAGAGAGGACUCUCCAGUACUACAGGGUUUUGCUUCAUAGCAAAGUUUAACAUCUUUACCCCUUUUAAACUCUUGAAACCUAAAACUCAACUAGAUAAUGUACUUCAAUCUUAUUAGUUAUAAAAAAUAUACUAACUACAACGGCCUUUCAUCAUGGACAUCCAAGGUUACCCCACAAGAAACUUCAGAGUAAUUGAAAUGAAGAUCUUAGCAGGCUCUUCUCUGUAUUUUAAAUGUGUCUGCCAAGCAGUAUGCUCAGGAGCUUGUUAAUGGACAGUUGCUUAAGAUAAUGUUCUUUAUAAAUGUCAUUGACCUACCUACUCUAUACUUGUAGUCUCUCCACUAAGAUUUAUAAUUUUCUG